rnacentral:rRNA from 1 species
UACGUAGGGUGCAAGCGUUGUCCGGAAUUAUUGGGCGUAAAGGGCUCGUAGGCGGCGCGGUAAGUCGGGUGUGAAAUCUCGGGGCUUAACUCCGAAACUGCAUUCGAUACUGCCGUGCUUGAGGACUGGAGAGGAGACUGGAAUUUACGGUGUAGCGGUGAAAUGCGUAGAUAUCGUAAGGAAGACCAGUGGCGAAGGCGGGUCUCUGGACAGUUCCUGACGCUGAGGCACGAAGGCCAGGGGAGCAAACGGG